rnacentral:rRNA from 1 species
GACGAACGCUGGCGGCGUGCUUAACACAUGCAAGUCGAGCGGUAAGGCCCUUUUGGGGGUACACGAGCGGCGAACGGGUGAGUAACACGUGGGUGACCUGCCCUCAGCUCUGGGAUAAGCCUGGGAAACUGGGUCUAAUACUGGAUAUGACCUUUCCUCGCAUGGGGUUGGGUGGAAAGUUUUUCGGCUGGGGGAUGGGCCCGCGGCCUAUCAGCUUGUUGGUGGGGUGAUGGCCUACCAAGGCGACGACGGGUAGCCGGCCUGAGAGGGCGACCGGCCACACUGGGACUGAGACACGGCCCAGACUCCUACGGGAGGCAGCAGUGGGGAAUAUUGCGCAAUGGGCGGAAGCCUGACGCAGCGACGCCGCGUGGGGAUGAC